UACGGAGGAUCCAAGCGUUAUCCGGAAUCAUUGGGUUUAAAGGGUCCGCAGGCGGUCUGAUAAGUCAGAGGUGAAAUCCUGCAGCUCAACUGUAGAACUGCCUUUGAUACUGGAAAACUUGAGUUAUUGUGAAGUAACUAGAAUAUGUAGUGUAGCGGUGAAAUGCGUAGAUAUUCGGAGGAACACCAAUUGCGAAGGCAGUUCACUGGACCGUGAUCGACGCUGAGGAGCGAAAGCUAGGGGAGCAAACAGG
rnacentral:rRNA from 1 species